GUAGGUGGCAAGCGUUGUCCGGAAUUAUUGGGCGUAAAGCGCGCGCAGGCGGUUCUUUAAGUCUGAUGUGAAAGCCCACGGCUCAACCGUGGAGGGUCAUUGGAAACUGGAGAACUUGAGUACAGAAGAGGAAAGCGGAAUACCACGUGUAGCGGUGAAAUGCGUAGAGAUGUGGAGGAACACCAGUGGCGAAGGCGGCUUUCUGGUCUGUAACUGACGCUGAGGCGCGAAAGCGUGGGGAGCAAACAGGAUUAGAUACCCUGGUAGUCCACGCCGUAAACGAUGAGUGCUAAGUGUUAGGGGGGUUUUCCGCCCCCCUUAGUGCUGCAGCUAACGCAUUAAGCACUCCGCCUGGGAGUACGACCGCAAGGUUG
rnacentral:rRNA from 1 species